CAGCUGGUGCCACAACACAUGCUCCCAAGAUCCAGGAGAGCACUGGGAGAGAUUUCUGUCGAGGAACACACUGUCUGAGUGUGAUAAUGGCAAGCAUGUUGGGUGGGCAGCUUGCCAUCAUGUCAUGCUGCGCUGGAAUCUGGUACUGGCGGGUGAGAAAACGGCACAUCCUUAAAGAAAAGCUGAAAGCUGGUGGCUGGUCCCAAGAUGUCUACAGCCGGAAAAGCUGGAGCAGCAGCUCUGAGUCUGACCAGCUUUUAAUGGCACAUCCACCCCUGAGCAGUUUUGAGCCCGCAGGCUAAGUCCUCCAUCCAUGGCCGAUGGUUCAACACCAGGGAAAUGAGUUGGAACUGCUCAACAGAACUCCAAGUGAGAGCUUCCAGGGUCAACUCUUCUGUACAAAUAAAAAGGGACAGAGCUGGCA